rnacentral:rRNA from 1 species
GAGUUUGAUCCUGGCUCAGAUUGAACGCUGGCGGCAGGCCUAACACAUGCAAGUCGAGCGGUAACAUUUCUAGCUUGCUAGAAGAUGACGAGCGGCGGACGGGUGAGUAAUGCUUGGGAAUAUGCCUUAGGGUGGGGGACAACAGUUGGAAACGACUGCUAAUACCGCAUAACGUCUACGGACCAAAGGGGGCUUCGGCUCUCGCCCUUAGAUUAGCCCAAGUGGGAUUAGCUAGUUGGUGAGGUAAUGGCUCACCAAGGCGACGAUCCCUAGCUGGUUUGAGAGGAUGAUCAGCCACACUGGAACUGAGACACGGUCCAGACUCCUACGGGAGGCAGCAGUGGGGAAUAUUGCACAAUGGGCGCAAGCCUGAUGCAGCCAUGCCGCGUGUGUGAAGAAGGCCUUAGGGUUGUAAAGCACUUUCAGUAAGGAGGAAAGGUUAGUAGUUAAUACCUG